rnacentral:rRNA from 1 species
CCUACGGGUGGCAGCAGUGAGGAAUAUUGGUCAAUGGGCGCGAGUCUGAACCAGCCAAGUAGCGUGAAGGAUGACUGCCCUCCGGGUUGUAAACUUCUUUUAUAAAGGAAUAAAGUGAGGCAUGUGUGCCUUUUUGUAUGUACUUUAUGAAUAAGGAUCGGCUAACUUCGUGCCAGCAGCCCCGGUAAUACGGGGGAUCCGAGCGUUAUCCGGAUUUAUUGGGUUUAAAGGGAGCGUAGAUGGGUUGUUAAGUCAGUUGUGAAAGUUUGCGGCUCAACCGUAGAAUUGCAUUUGAUACUGGCUGCCUUGAGUGCAGGAGAGGUAGGCGGAAUUCGUGGUGUAGCGGUGAAAUGCUUAGAUAUCAGGAAGAACGCCGAUGGCGAAGGCAGCUUACUAGACGGCAACUGACGGUGAGGCUCGAAAGUGUGGGUAGCAAACAGGAUUAGAUACCCGUGUAGUC